AUGGCUUCAAGAGUCCCCUGUGCAGAUAUAAACAUAUCAGAAGAUUCAUCUGGCAUUAAAAACAAAGAUUCCAUUGAGCAGGAAGAUCACCAACUCUGCCCUCCCUGGCAUCGGACUAUGCUGCAGGUUGUAUGGGCAGGAAACAUCCUUUUCCUGGUGACAGUGAUAGUGAUGCGUGCUUUGGUUGUGAAUAAAUCUCUUCAAGAACAGACUGUGGAUGCAAAUGCACAUCAAGGCAAUGAAGGAAACAACACACUGGAGACUUUCAAGUUUUUGCUAAAACAAAAUCUGUGUGAAACUUCAACAUGGACAGAGAACGGAAGUUGUGCUCUGUGCCCUGAGGCAUGGCUUCUGCACAAAAACAAAUGCUACUGGUUUUCUAAUUCAAUGCAGUCUUGGGGAAAAAGCAAGGAAAAUUGUUUAACAAGGAAAACUCAGCUAGUUGUGUUGUAUGACCAGGAUGUGAAGGUAAAACAUUCUGACAGUUUUUUGUUGUGGUUGUUCUAUAUGUUCAAGUUGAGUUCAACCCUAUGACCACCCUUUAAAUGAGAAUUUCUCAAAGUGCUUUCUCCAUAUUUUUCUUCUGCCUUGCACUUUAUGCAGCGGUAUCAUCGUUUUCCAGUGAGCCACAGCUUCUCAUAACACAUCCAAGGUACAGCGUAAACUUAGUUAUUUUUAUAUCUAGUGGGAGAUCAGGCUUAAUUUGCUCCAAGAAUAUUCAUCACUCUUAUUCUUUUAUACUUCAAUUCGAAGCAGACUGAAAUACUAUUACAUGGAUCCAAUCAUGAACAAUCUUUUUACAUAUUUUAAAAGCCUGCACAUAUUUUGAGAUGCAUGUAUCUAGGGGCUUGUAUACAUUGGCCCCAACCUCUGCUGUGGAUCACUGGAUGUUUUUUGUUUUAAACUGACUUUUGUCCACAUUUAGCAAAGUUGGGGACUACUCUGGUACCCUAAUAUACCUAUGGUGCUGUUGUAUGCUUUUAAUUCAUUUCUGACAUAGGAUGACCCUAAGGUGGUCAUUUCAUGGGUUUUCUUAGUAACAUUGGUUUAGAGAAGGUUUGCCAUUGUCUUCUUAUCAGGCUGAAAGAGUGUGACUUCUCCAUGAUCACCACCAUGGCUGAGCAGGUAUACAAAACCUGCUGCCAUAGAAUUGUAUUAAACACACAAACCGCUACAUUGUACUGGCUCACACAUAAAUUUUAAGGCAAGUUUGACCUCUGUCUUGCACGGAAGUGAACUGACUGGCAGAAAUCACUACUGAAAAG
rnacentral:lncRNA from 1 species